GAUUAACGCUGGCGGCGUGCAUAACACACGCAAGUCGAACGAUGAAACUUUUUUGAUUUCUUCGGAAUGAUUAAAAGUGGAUUAGUGGCGGACGGGUGAGUAACGCGUGAGUAACCUGCCUUAGAGAAGGGGAUAGCCUUUGGAAACGAAGAAUAAUACCCUAUGAAACCAUAACCUCGCAUGAGGAAUUGGUCAAAGAUUUAUCGCUCUAAGAUGGACUUGCGUCUGAUUAGUUAGUUGGUGGGGUAACGGCCCACCAAGACAGCGAUCAGUAGCCGGCUUGAGAGAGUGUACGGCCACAUUGGGACUGAGACACGGCCCAGACUCCUACGGGAGGCAGCAGUGGGGAAUUUUGCACAAUGGGGGAAACCCUGAUGCAGCGACGCCGCGUGAUUUAGAAGGCCUUCGGGUUGUAAAAAUCUUUUCUAUGGGAAGAAAAUGACAGUACCAUAGGAAUAAGGACCGGCUAAUUACGUG
rnacentral:rRNA from 1 species